UUUAUCAAAGUAUCAGAAUUUUUUUUAUCAAAAAUAAUGUUCAAACCUAAUUGUGCGUUUUUAAUUUUUUAGAGAAUAAAGGUCCGAAAACUUUUGAGAAAAUAAUUUAUAAUAAUUGGCAAAAUCAAGCAACAGAAAAAGAUGAUGAAGAUACUGGAGAUAUUUUGUACAAUCCAAAUAUAUUAAGAUGGCAGCAUUUUAAAUACAACUUUUGCAGAGUUAUAAAAUAAAAAAAAUCUAAAAUAAAA